UAAGGAAUAUUGGUCAAUGGACGAAAGUCUGAACCAGCCAUGCCGCGUGAAGGAUUAAGGUCCUCUGGAUUGUAAACUUCUUUUAUCUGGGACGAAAAAAGGCGAUUCUUCGUCACUUGACGGUACCAGAUGAAUAAGCACCGGCUAACUCCGUGCCAGCAGCCGCGGUAACACGGAGGGUGCAAGCGUUAUCCGGAUUCACUGGGUUUAAAGGGUGCGUAGGCGGGUAGGUAAGUCAGUGGUGAAAUCCUUGAGCUCAACUCGAGAACUGCCAUUGAUACUAUUUAUCUUGAAUAUUGUGGAGGUAAGCGGAAUAUGUCAUGUAGCGGUGAAAUGCUUAGAUAUGACAUAGAACACCUAUUGCGAAGGCAGCUUACUACGCAUAUAUUGACGCUGAGGCACGAAAGCGUGGGGAUCAAACAGG
rnacentral:rRNA from 1 species